UCUGAGAAGCAGCUCCUAUAAUGAGCUCAGCAGCUGGUUGCUAAUUGCUGCUGGCUAGUCUGAAGGAGCUGAUGUGGGAGGAGCUUCACCUGGGAGGCGGAGCUAGGUCCACCCAGUGUUUUUAACAGCUGG